GAUUGCUAUAUAUCUUUAUUAGGUUUUAGGGCUUGUUUGGUUGUGGCAUACUAAAGGGUUGUUUGGUUUGACGUAUUUGUAAUUGCACUGUCGUUAGAGAUAUAUACAGUUAGAAAUGCAUCAAUUAUAAGUGCGUUUAUUCUAUUUGGUUGAAUAUUGUAGAAAGAUCUAUAAUUAUAAAUAUCUUAUUUGGUUGCAUGCGGUUGAGAAGUGCAAUUACGAAAUUUAAUUAUUUUAUAUAUGGGACAAUAAGAUUACCCCAUAUUUAGGGAGAAAGACUAUUAAAAAAUGAUUAAGUAUGCAAGUUUACUUUUAUUUAGAAUUACUCUCUCUAAGUAUUACAGUUGAACUGUGACCAAUUUGAGCGUAAUUUUAAUUACUACAGUUGACUUCAAAUGUAUUAACACAAACGCCGAAUUUAGAUCAACACGCAAUUAACAACUCUAAUGCAGUUACAACUACGUGCAACCAAAUAACUCUUAAGUGCUAUCUAUUACUAUUAGGCAGAAAUAGAUUG
rnacentral:lncRNA from 1 species